GGAUGCUUGACAGAGCGGUCGAAUGUAUCGCCUUGCUAAGGCGACGGAGUCCACUGGCUCCCGAGGGUUCGAAUCCCUCAGCAUCCG
rnacentral:tRNA from 1 species